UAACAGGAAGUGCUUGCACUUCGCUGACGAGUGGCGGACGGGUGAGUAAUACUUAGGGAUCUGCCUUUGAGUGGGGGACAACCAUUGGAAACGAUGGCUAAUACCGCAUAACGUCUACGGACCAAAGUGGGCUUCGGCUUACGCUUGAAGAGGAACCUAAGCGAGAUUAGCUAGUUGGUGAGGUAAGGGCUCACCAAGGCGACGAUCUCUAGCUGUUCUGAGAGGAAGAUCAGCCACACUGGGACUGAGACACGGCCCAGACUCCUACGGGAGGCAGCAGUGGGGAAUAUUGCACAAUGGGGGAAACCCUGAUGCAGCCAUGCCGCGUGUGUGAAGAAGGCCUUCGGGUUGUAAAGCACUUUCAGUUGUGAGGAAAGGUUGGUAGUUAAUACCUGCCAGCUGUGACGUUAACAACAGAAGAAGCACCGGCUAACUCCGUGCCAGCAGCCGCGGUAAUACGGAGGGUGCGAGCGUUAAUCGGAAUUACUGGGCGUAAAGCGCACGCAGGCGGUUUGUUAAGCUAGAUGUGAAAGCCCCGGGCUCAACCUGGGAUGGUCAUUUAGAACUGGCAGACUAGAGUCUUGGAGAGGGGAGUGGAAUUCCAGGUGUAGCGGUGAAAUGCGUAGAGAUCUGGAGGAACAUCAGUGGCGAAGGCGACUCCCUGGCCAAAGACUGACGCUCAUGUGCGAAAGUGUGGGUAGCGAACAGGAUUAGAUACCCUGGUAGUCCACACCGUAAACGCUGUCUACUAGCUGUGUGUGAAUUUAAUUCGUGCGUAGCGUAGCUAACGCGCUAAGUAGACCGCCUGGGGAGUACGGCCGCAAGGUUAAAACUCAAAUGAAUUGACGGGGGCCCGCACAAGCGGUGGAGCAUGUGGUUUAAUUCGAUGCAACGCGAAGAACCUUACCUACACUUGACAUGCAGAGAACUUUCCAGAGAUGGA
rnacentral:rRNA from 1 species